CCAGGAAGAGCUGGCAACCAGGGAGGCAGGGGAGAGGCCCUGGGCCAAAAGCUGAGGGUUUGUGUGAAAGUGCAGCCAGGCCUGUCCCCCUGCUCCCCCAGCGCGUCACCCGGGUAUGUCACCAGCUUCAGCCCAUCCUCAGGCAGAAGGAUGACUCUCUUGGGAGAAACCGUUGGGCUAAAACACUGAAUUGCCGACCAGAAGAGGUGGCCUUGUCGCCCUGGCCCUGUGUGAUGGGUUUCACCACGCAGGAAGAUCUUUUGGGGGCCUUCGCAAUCCCGUUGGGGAGUGUGGCGGUGGGUAUCACCCAGUCCUUUGGAUGUCUGCAUAGAACGAAAAGACUGAGGAAGGGCGGACUUGCUCUCUGUCUGACCACGUGAGCUGAGACAUCCGUCUUCCGCCCUUGGAGCUCCUGGCUUUCAGGUCUUUGAGCAACUACAUCCCACGGGCCUUCUUCAGUCUCCAGUUUGCAGAGGACAGAUGUGGGACUUCUCAGCCUCCAUCACUGGGGGAGCCAAUACCUUAUAAUAAAUCAAUGUCUCUGUC